UCUGGUUGAUCCUGCCAGUAGUCAUAUGCUUGUCUUAAAGAUUAAGCCAUGCAUGUCUAAGUAUAAACACUUUGUACUUGUGAAACUGCGAAUGGCUCAUUAAAUCAGUUAUAAUUUAUUUGAUGGUCCUUUACUACUUGGAUAACCGUGGUAAAUCUAGAGCUAAUACAUGCACAAAAUCCUGACUGCUUUCGGGUAGGAGGGAUGUAUUUAUUAGAUUCAAAAGCCAAUGCCAUCUUUCGGGGUGGAAAUUUUUUAUAUGGUGAAUCAUGAUAACUUUACGAAUCGCAUAGUCUUGUACUGGCGAUAGUUCAUUCAAAUAUCUGCCCUAUCAACUUUCGAUGGUAGUAUAGAGGACUACCAUGGUGGUAACGGGUAACGGAGAAUCAGGGUUUGAUUCCGGAGAAGGAGCCUGAGAAACGGCCACUACUUCCAAGGAAGGCAGCAGGCGCGCAAAUUACCCAAUCCCGACACGGGGAGGUAGUGACAAAAAAUAACAAUACCGGUCUUAUUAAAGUCUGGUAAUUGGAAUGAGUACAAUCUAAAACCUUUAACGAGUAUCAAUUGGAGGGCAAGUCUGGUGCCAGCAGCCGCGGUAAUUCCAGCUCCAAUAGCAUAUAUUAAAGUUGUUGCAGUUAAAAAGCUCGUAGUUGGAUUUUGAUGUUACUUUUCAUAACCUGCCUUGUAUAAGGUAUGUUUGUUGUGAAUCGUACAUCUCCUUACUAGACUUUCAUGGUUGUACUUAAUUGAAUGACCAUUUCAUUCUGAUUCGUUAGGGUGAGUGAUGAGUAGACCUAUUGGGUUCGAGAUUGUGGAUGAAUUUCUUCGGAAGUUGGUUCUGCUUGGAUUCAAUAACUAUUUAUUAGAAAUCUAGUUCAUUUACUUUGAGUAAAUUAGAGUGUUCAAGGCAAGCAAAUUUGUUUCUGCAAUGAAUACUAUUAGCAUGGGAUAAUGGAACAGGACACGUAUUCUAGUUUUCCGUUGGUUUCUAGAAUUUUUAGUCGCUCCUUGGAGUGGCGAAGUGUAAUGAUUAAAAGGGACAGUUGGGGGCAUUCGUAUUUCAUUGUCAGAGGUGAAAUUCUUGGAUUUAUGAAAGACGAACUUCUGCGAAAGCAUUUGUCAAAGAUGUUUUCAUUAAUCAAGAACGAAAGUUAGGGGAUCGAAGACGAUCAGAUACCGUCGUAGUCUUAACCAUAAACUAUGCCGACCAGGGAUUGGAA
rnacentral:rRNA from 1 species